CCUACGGGGGGCUGCAGUGGGGAAUAUUGGACAAUGGGGGGAACCCUGAUCCAGCCAUGCCGCGUGUGUGAAGAAGGCCCUCGGGUUGUAAAGCACUUUCAGUGAGGAAGAACGCCUGGUGGUUAAUACCCAUCAGGAAAGACAUCACUCACAGAAGAAGCACCGGCUAACUCCGUGCCAGCAGCCGCGGUAAUACGGAGGGUGCGAGCGUUAAUCGGAAUUACUGGGCGUAAAGCGCGCGUAGGUGGCUUGACAAGCCGGUUGUGAAAGCCCCGGGCUCAACCUGGGAACGGCAUCCGGAACUGUCAAGCUAGAGUGCAGGAGAGGAAGGUAGAAUUCCCGGUGUAGCGGUGAAAUGCGUAGAGAUCGGGAGGAAUACCAGUGGCGAAGGCGGCCUUCUGGACUGACACUGACACUGAGGUGCGAAAGCGUGGGUAGCAAACAGGAUUAGAUACCCGGGUAGUC
rnacentral:rRNA from 1 species